GGGGAUUUAGCUCAGUGGUAGAGCGCUUGCCUAUCAAGUGCAAGGCGCUGGGUUUGGUCCCCAACGGUCCCCA
rfam:Rattus norvegicus chromosome 7, whole genome shotgun sequence.